UCCAGCUGCUCUGUCACUGUAUGCUAACAUAGGCACAGCCAUGUGCUUCUCCUCUUGGAGAAGCAAGGUGCAGACCCUUCUCAAGAGCCUGAAGGAAAUCAUCCAAUUAGACUAACAGCUGCAGAGAUUGGAAUAAGCCUUGCAUAUUACAAAAUUAUAGAAAAUGCAGCUGAGUGCUAUGGAAAGGAGCUAAGGCUGCAGUUCCUCACGAACUGGUUCAGCAUGGGGACCUCCAUGUAAUGCAGUCCCUCAAGAAAAUCUUCUCCAGCAUGUGUCCCCACCAUGGGAUCCCAGAAGCUGUCAGAAAAUCUACUUCAGAAUGCACUCCUCUCUGCUUGGGUCCACCUGUCCUGCUCCAGCCUGCUUCAGCAUGAAUUUCCCACAGGGUCACACUUUCGGCAGGGUACGUCUACCUGCUCCAGUGUGGAGUCCUCCAGAGACUGCAGGUGGAUCUGUGCUCCCCCAUGGACUGCAGGGGCACAGCUGCCUCUCAAUGGUCUGCACCAUGGGCUGCAGGAAAACCUCUGCUCCCGUGCCUGGAGCACCUCCUCCUCUCCCUCCUUCUUCAGUGUCAUUGCUGUUUCUCUCACACAUUCUCACUGCUCUCUCCUGUGGAUGCCAUGGGACAGAGAGAGAGAAAUGACAAACAUUUCUCACAGUGGCUUGUGAGAACUUCCAGGGAGUUGUAAGGAUGUGAUAACUUGCUAAGUAUGAACAAUCUGCAGGUGGUGUUUUUCUACUUUGUCUUUCUGUUCUCAAGGAUGGAGUAUGAGAAAGGUGUUUUUGGUAACUAGCCAAUCAAAUAGAAUGCAUCGUAUCACUCCAUAAAAACUG